UUUUACUCAUUUCUGCAUUUCACGUUUCUUUCUUCUUCUCCCUCCACUCACUUUUCGCAUCUCUCAAAAUCCAACUUACUUGACCAUCACCGCUGCCAUUUACUCUUUUUCGCAUCCACGGGGUUCAUCUUAAUUUGGUUAUAGCCGCUAUACAUCUCAGGCCCAGAUGGCACCUAGGACAAUUUCAGGAAACAGUGGCUCGGAGAAAACCAUGAAGUCGCAAAGGCUAAGCGGUGAAAUAGCAGUUACGCCCCGGGAUCAGAAAGAAGGAGAAGUAAGGGAGUUUUGAUAGUUCUUUUCACCGACAGAGAGACCGGAUUUUGAUCAAAGGAGAAAGAAGGGAGCAAUGGAAUUGAGGAAGGAUCUGUCGACCAGUCUUUCAACUCGAUCCUGCAACAAAAGAUUAGAGGAGCAGAGAAUAUGAGUAAGUACACACUGGAUGCCUCUGUAACUUCUAAGGGAGAAUCGAACAUGGACUUCUCCGCCUUGGAUGAGAAGCUUGGAAAGGGUAUUGCCGAGGCACUGUCGACGAUGAUUCGCGAAUCUGUUGUGCAAGGGAUAAUAGCAGUUCUCCCAGAGAUUGUGAAAACGGUUGGUUCCUCACCAAAAAGUGGGAUGAUGGUGUGAAGCUUUCGAAUACUACUCCAGUUAUUACACUGCCGCCAGACACUUUGAAACGCAUAAAGCUUUCGAAUACUGCUCCAGUUGUUACUCCACCGUCAGACCCUUUGAAAGAAGUACUUGAUGCCAAUCCCUCAAUGUGUUUGGGUGACAAACUAGUCACGAAGAAGAGUACUUGGAGGUGCAAGGGAAGAAAGCGUGGAUUACCGGUCUCCGUAGUU